rnacentral:misc_RNA from 1 species
ACAUGCCCGCGCAAGGGAUAGUAGAGGAAAGCCCACAGCCCGACGAAGGAGGUGCGAGGACUUGUAACGGAUAGCCCGACCCUUG